AGCGAACGCUGGCGGCAGGCCUAACACAUGCAAGUCGAACGAAGUCUUCGGACUUAGUGGCGGACGGGUGAGUAACACGUGGGAACGUACCUUUCGGUUCGGAACAACUCAGGGAAACUUGAGCUAAUACCGGAUGAGCCCUUAGGGGGAAAGAUUUAUCACCGAAAGAGCGGCCCGCGUUAGAUUAGCUAGUUGGUGAGGUAAAGGCUCACCAAGGCUACGAUCUAUAGCUGGUCUGAGAGGAUGAUCAGCCACACUGGGACUGAGACACGGCCCAGACUCCUACGGGAGGCAGCAGUGGGGAAUCUUGCGCAAUGGGCGAAAGCCUGACGCAGCCAUGCCGCGUGAAUGAUGAAGGUCUUAGGAUUGUAAAAUUCUUUUACCAGGGACGAUAAUGACGGUACCUGGAGAAAAAGCCCCGGCUAACUUCGUGCCAGCCGCCGCCGUAAAAC
rnacentral:rRNA from 1 species